UUGAAAUGGGUACCCUUAACU
rnacentral:piRNA from 1 species